CCCAUCUUCCCCUCUCCAAAACUCUCACGUUUCAUCUCCUUCCUCUCCAUCAAUACAAAAUAUCAGAGUUAAAAUCGAUGGAGGUUUAUUCAUGGUACCCCGAUGAUGGAUGAAGAGACCUCUGCCACCCCGUCUCUCAUCAUGGGCUGGCGUGGAACCAGGGAAAGAUUUGGUCAUACCCUCCUCUUCUUCAAUCCAGCUUGAUCUAUGCUCGCAGGUUACGCCGACACCUCCAACAUCCUGGUAUCUUCCUUAUGUACACCCAUGUCUCCGUGCAGCAGCAGCCUCCUCCUAUUUCCACGCGCGUCCCCUUCAUCAUGCCUUCAACUUUCAUCCAAUUGCCACCUCUGGACUCUCCUCCCUCGAGCCCUAUAAUUCAUGGUUGUUUGCUGCCUCAAUUUCACCACCACUCAAGGGAGUCAAUCUGAGUGGCUUUCGUGGGCGUCAACUGAGCGGUAAUUUUCCUAAUCUCAGUUUCCAAGGUUCACUUUUUACAUCAUGCGUUCAUCAGCAUCAAAGAUGAAUUCAUGACAGUCGGCGGUGUUCGUAGUCAAAGAUGGAUUCACAGCAGCCUACAAUGUUAAUCACCAUUGCUGUAUAUGCAGUGUUCAGAACGGAGUACUUCAGCUUUCUAUCAGCAUGCAGUCAACAUGUGAUCAAACAGAUAUAGAUUAGAAUUUGAAUUUUUUUGAUUUGGUUCAUGCUUAUGUAGGCAUAUAUCGAUGAGGUAUGUGAUAAUAUGCAUGUGGUAUAUACAACUAAAACAUUUGUAUGCAUGUACAACUAUGUAUUUUUUAAUUUGUAGCUCUUGGUAGCUGUCCAUUGCUCCAUAUGUGUUUCUUUGUCGUAAGAAGUCUGAUGGUUCUUCUCCUACUUUUCAUUAAAAAAAAUCUAUGUUUCAGUUCUCUAUACAGAAAUUCGGAAAUGAGUGAAACCAAUGAAUUCCCCAGCAUGAUUUUAUCCUAAUUGUUUACUAUAGUUUGAGUAGGAAUUGCAUGUAUAUGUGACAAGCUUACAAUGCAACAAGGUAAUAUAGAGCCUCUUGGUAGCCAUCCAUCUCUCCAUAUGUGAUUCUUUUCCCUGAGAAGUCUGAUGGUUGUUCUCCUACUUUUUCAGUAAAAAAAUGUAUGUUUCAGUUCUUUGUACAGAAACUCAGAAAUGGGUGAAACCAAUAAAUUCCCCAGCAUGAUUUUAUCCUAAUUGUUUACUAUAGUUCCAGCAGGAAUUGCGUGUAUAUAUGACAACUUUGCAAUGCAACAAGAUAGUAUAGAGACUUAUAGAAGCGUUUCUAUCUCAUGAUUUGGCAGUCAUACCUACAGGAAUAAUUCACGUGAGUGAUCUUUGGAUACUGAUUAUAUGUUAACAAUUUCAUGUCAGGAAUUAAUCAUUUGUGUUUCAUGCUUUUAUGUAUAGCGUAUCUAUUUGUUCGCCAAAUUUUAGAGAACCAGGGCAAAUUACGAUGUUUGCAUGUUUUUUCUGUUGUUCUUUUUCGUAACGUUCCAAAUCGGUUAAUCUUAAAAAGAACCAUAGGUUUUGGAAAUUUACGAACGGAAGGUGACUUCAUGUAUAUUACGAAAGCAAGACUGGAUAUGAUUAGAUCUUUCCGUCUGGAUGAUAUGAUUCGCUCCGUAUUUCUUCUGGCACAUUUGUAGAAAAAUACCACAUUUUUCGCUAUUACACCGUGUCUUGCGUCACUAAAUAUAGUUUUCUGUUUAACAUGAUCUACAUCGUUUUAGUUCAUCUUCAGCUGAA